rnacentral:miRNA from 10 species
CCAAGGGUUUUGUUAAGAAUACUGAUUCCCACUCCUAACCUUGGACCUACUAAAUCAGAAUCACUGACUGGAGGUGGGGUCCAGGAAUCUGCAUUUUAACAUAGGCCCCC